UUCGGGUACAAUUGAGACAGGUGGUGCAUGGUUGUCGUCAGCUCGUGUCGUGAGAUGUUGGGUUAAGUCCCGCAACGAGCGCAACCCUUGUGUUUAGUUGCAAACAGGUCAAGCUGUGCACUCUAGACAGACUGCCGUGGACAACACGGAGGAAGGUGGGGAUGACGUCAAAUCAUCAUGCCCCUUAUGAUCUGGGCUACACACGUGCUACAAUGGCCGGUACAACGGGCAGCGAAGGAGCGAUCCGGAGCGAAUCCUAAAAAGCCGGUCCCAGUUCGGAUUGCAGGCUGAAACUCGCCUACAUGAAGUUGGAGUUGCUAGUAAUCGCGAAUCAGAAUGUCGCGGUGAAUGCGUUCCCGGGUCUU
rnacentral:rRNA from 1 species